GCCUGGCUCUGAGGGCCGCCGGGGCUGUGAAGCCUGUCAUUAGCGAUUAGCUCACGUCAGUCACUCACGCAUCCCUGUUUGCCCUGCUGCUGACCUCGCGCGAGGCGGCCACCUUGUGGGAGAUGUUUUCGUGAGGCAACAGACGCUGGCCGUUCCCAGCGUCACGCAGAGUUCGGAUCCACUCUAGCGAGAGACCACAGCGUCCGGGAGCAGCUUGUGAAACUCUGGCGAGCGUCAGCCUUGAAAAUAAAAAGUAUUGGCAGCCGUCGACGAGCACAGGUUCCUAAAACUUAGAUCGAAGAGAAGUACCAGCCUUCAAAAAUAAACCAGCACCAAAAGCCCCCUGUGCUUAUAGGUGACGUGCGGGCUGGGAGUGCAGUGGUGUCACCUCGCCUUGUAUGUCAUCGCCGGUUGUGUGCCUAACAUACAUACAAAAAGGAUAACUCGAAUUUAGCCAUCACGCAUUUUCAAAAAUACUGCUUGGAAAUUGAAUGUUUGGAGAAAAGAUAUAAUCUGGGGUUUCUACACGGUCUGAAUUGGGUUCAUUUCCGUUUAGCAAACAUUUAUUGAGCUCCCAGCGUGGGUCACAGAAUUCAGUAAACCUGAUCCCGUGUUCAAGGUGCUAUAUUCCGAUGCAGGGCAGGGCGAUGCAGUGAAAGAAUGGUGGCCACAGCAGUAGCAUGCUAAUAGCCUGGUGGGCAGGUACAGGUUUUGCAUUUCUUUGGCGAGAUCACUUUUGAGUGUCUCCACUGGGUGGCAGAAUUAAGACCCGU
rnacentral:lncRNA from 1 species